GGAAAGUGACAAAGAAGGAAGGAAAGUCACCAUUCCUGUCUUAUUUGGGUCAAUGCUGACUGAAGCACAAGAAGAAGAUAGAGAAUAUUCUGUGGACAGAAAUCAAAUCCAUGCCAAAUGACGAAGAAACCAAAGUGGUAUUGAUAACAGGUGAUUCUACCCGUAUGUGGGGCAGGAGAUGCAUAGACACUCUGUGUACCUUCCACUCAGUUUUGCUGUGAACCUAAAGCUGAUCUUUAAAAUAAAGUCUAUUAAAAUAAACAA
rnacentral:lncRNA from 10 species